UAAACUCAUGCGUGCUUAGGAGAGUCUCUAUGAUCUCACCCCAACCUUCCCUGAGUCUCACUCCUUGCCAUACCAGAUGUGGCACUAGUGUGAGCAUUCUGGGAAUGGUCACAGCUCCGUGUGCUGAGGAAGAGUCUCUCCCUGGGUCACUAGACCAGCCCCUAGGAGCCCAGAGGAGGAUCAUAAAUGAGCAACAUUCUCUGGGGCUGGGGCAAGAGGUCCCUGCAUCUCUCUGUAAACUCUGCCUGGUGGUGGGAGCUGUGGUAGACGCAGUCAUUGCUCCUGGUCUUCUCCCCACCUCUCUGAAGAUAGGGAGGGAGAGGUGAGGCAAAGCCAUGAGGGUCAAGUCAGUAAAGACUGCUGCACAUGCCACCUGGACCCUCAGCCUGCUUUCUGAUGCCCAUUUCCAUCUGAAAUGUAUUGAAGCAUUUUUUCUUCCUGAUACCCAUGACUACAGGCUGAUUGAGCAGAUACUACCAUAGAGACUGAUAUAGACAAGGAUGUAAAGCAACAUUCUGCCGUUCCUGGAAGAGACUGCUUUGAGAGGACUGCCCUCUGGUUUCAUGGCUGAGGGAUCCUAAUGAAACCCAUCACUGCAUUUGCAGAUAAGGACCAUUUUUCUAUAUAUCUUGAAAUUCUUGACACCUAGUGAAGGUACAGUGGCCAAGAAGGACAAGUGAGGACAUCACAUGAAAGGCCACACACAGAGAGAGAGGCAGAGACACAGGCAGAGGGAGAAGCAGGCUCCAUGCACCGGGAGCCCGACGUGGGACUCGAUCCCGGGUCUCCAGGACCGCGCCCUGGGCCAAAGGCAGGCGCCAAACCGCUGCGCCACCCAGGGAUCCCUUUCUUUCCAUAUCUUAACCUCUUUUCACAUCUGUGAUUCUCUGCCAGAGCCAAGCAAUGUGGAUAUGGUUCUCAAACAUUCCUUUUAAAAAAUGUAGCAUUUUGUCUGGUAUCUAACUUUGACAGGCACACCUGUUAUAUCUUGGUGACUUACUCAAAAUUUAAUUUUAACAUCUUGUUUUUUGUUAAAAAGCAGAAAACAUUAACUACUGUUCAGGGAUAUUGUGAUCACUACAUAAGUCACUCUAUGCAGAAUAGAAAACAAUGCACAUGGGUGUUCUUCACUGUGCUCCCUGGCCCCACCACUUGUUACAGACAUUUUGGGUGGGAUCUGAGAAGUUAAAAACCUCUUGAAACACCAACUAAGAGAAAUUUUUGAAAGAAUUAAUACUGGGGAGGUUAGAUGAUUGAAUCUUUUGAGAAGGUGUUGAGAAGAUAUCAGAAGAUAUUUCAGUGAUAUUUCAUGGCACUUAGCCUGUGCCAUAACCAACCUGAUUCUGAGAAAUGACUGCAAAGUUCUAAAAGUUCUUUUGGAUUAUGUAUCAUUAACUCCAAAAAGAUCUCCCAAGAGAUACUCUCAAAGGGCCCUACUUAAUGGCUUGUGCUGUCCUCCUCUGAGCUCAUAAGAUUUUUAGAGGGUAGAUAAAAAUCAAGCACUUAUCUGAGACCCCAGAAGCCAUGACAUGGUUUCAAGGCAGUCAACCAUCUGUAAAAUGUCUAGAAAGGCAAGUGUGUGCCAUCUUCUUUCUUUCUGGCCUCUAAUUUAUUGGCAGAGAAAUGUUAAGUGGAUUUUUUUAGAGAGUCACCAUAUUGCAGAAACAGAUUGAAGCAAGAUGGAUUGGAGAGAAUAAAGUUUGCUGUAGGAUAGAAUCAGGUCCAGAAAGGGAAGGCAUAUGGCUGAUGCCACAGCCUAGACAGCCUCCCUGAGUGAAGUGAAAGCUUCUUAAUUGUAAAGAGCCGCAACACUAGUAAUAUUUAUUGAGCAAUUACUUUGUGCUUGCUUUUUAUGAAUUGUUUCAAUGAUUUCUUAACAAACAUAUGAGUUAAUUACUAUAAUUUCAUUUUUUUUUCAAGUGAGAAAAUCUAGGCAACCUUCCUGAGGUUGUAUAGCUAUUAAGUGGUAGAGUCAAAAUUUGAACUCAUGGUCAAUCAGACUCCAAGUUAUGGAAAAACUUAAAAUGAAACUAGGCAUUAUUAUUCAGAAAAAUUCACCGACCCCGUGUUAUAGAUUUAAUUUUGUCUACCCCGAAAUCCAGAUGUUGAAGCCCUAACCUCCAAUGUGAUAUAUUUAAAGACAGGGCCUUUAAAGAGGUAAUUAAGUCAAAUAAGGUCAUGAAGGUGGGGCCCUUAUAGAAUAGGACAAGUGUCCUUAGAAGAAGAGGAAGAAACACAAAGGGUAAUGCACAUGUACAGAGGAAAGGUCAUGUGAGGAUACAGUGAGAAGGUGGGUAUCUACUAACCAAGGAUAGAGGCCUCAGGAGAAAUCAAACCAGCCAACACCUUGAUCUUGAAUUUCUAGCUUCCAGAACUGUGAGAAAAAAUAAAUUUCUGUUGCUUAAGCUACUCAAUCUGUGGCAUUUUGUUAUGGCAGCCGAUGCAAACCAAUACACCUCACCACCUUUAUGGGUGGAGAAUACUUUGCCAUCCCUUGAUUUUGAGUUUAUUGGUGUGAUUUACUUUGGUCAAUGGAAUGUUAGCAGACCUGAUAUGAGUAGAGGCUUAAGCAACAGCUAGGGGUUUGGGCUUGCUGUCUUGUGCCUCUUCUAGUGUUGUGAGAAGGACACGCUCCAUCCAGCUGGUCCAAGGAAGAUGAGAGACAGUGGAAUAGGGCCUUGCAGCUUGAAGCAGAGCCACCAGGCAGAACUUGGCCUAAGUCAGGCAAUGCUAACCUGCUGUAGUUUGAAGUCAAGUCACCCUAACUCAUCCCUAUAUUUGUGACAGUGAAUGAUAACUAUUUUAAACUUCUGCAUUUUUUUUUAGGCAGCACCACUGUAAUGAUAGCUAAUGGAUGCAUUAAUCAAAGGUUAGAAUAGGGAACUUUACAUAAUUUGUGCACAAUGCUAUUCUCUGGCUGCUCACAAAGGGUAGGCAUGGAGCAAUAUUUGGAGAAAAGGUAGACAAAUGGUUGCUCUAAUAUUUUUCUCAAGUUUUAGGUUAGGAGGAUAAACUUCAUUCCUCUAAAAAUAUGUAUAGGGUGGAAUUGAACCAGUAUUUUCUUUUAGGACAAUACUUAAAUGGAAAGAAAGAGACACAAAUACAGAGACAGAUGAACAGAGAACAGGCAUUUUGGACUGAGUUAUGCUGAGCUCAAAUGUCCUGACUUUGUCAUUAGCUAUGUGUGAUCUAGCACAAGUCAUACAACCUCACUGAAUUUCAGCUUUUCUAUUGUAAAAUGGGAAUGCUAAUAAUAUUAUCCUUCACAUCCACAUACAAUUUUAUCUCCCCACACAUGGGUUCUGCCUGCCUAACUGGAAACAUCUGACUCAGAGCAGGUACUCUUUAUUCUGCCUCUUUACAGUCAAGAAAUCUUAAAGGGAUGGGGCAUGGUGGGGAAGAUUUGAGAACCACAAAUUUAGGUGGUUCUUAGGGGAUUAUUUUUGCUUCUUAGGUUCAUGGAGAUAUUUAGCUCAGAGGGGCCAGCAGGAUAGGAUGAGGCUGCUUUCCUUGCUAACUUAGGUUGAUUGUAAAGCCUUAAAUCUUAAGUUUGUGGUCCAAUGGAGGAAGAUGUUGAUUCUCAGACCACCAGAGCUGAAAGAGCCCAUUGAGGUAUUAUAGUAUGUAGCUUUCUCAGCCUUGAAAAAUGUAUAAACUCUGCUUUGACAAGCUGGACAAGCAAGAGUUACUUAGCCUUUUUGAGUCUUUGUUUCAUUAUCUAUAAAAAGAGAGUAAUAGUAGUGUAUGUCCCUUUUUGUGUAAAGGUUUCUAUUAUUAUGGAAAUCACAUUAAACCAAGGAAAGCUAAAGCUCAUAGCACAGCAGAUAAAGGCUCAUAAAUAUGAUCUUGGGAUAUUUAAUUUAUUAACUUCAGUCCCUUUCUUUUGCAGAUAAAUAAACUGAGGCUCCCUAAGGUGAGCUGAACUUUUCCAAAGUCACAAAGCUAUGAAGUGCCAAAGUAGAACUAGACAGGGGAAAAUUUUGCAAGUGACGGAUAUCUGAAGAGGAGCUAUCCCCACUUGUUCAGAUUUUAAGCUAUAGGUGUAGUCUGGAGAUGUAAGAGAGGAGGUUAAAACUAUGAAUUCUCACUAUUGAAAACAAUUCAGCAUCUAGACUGUUACUGUUGUAAGAAUACUCUCUAAAGUUACUAGCUUUGCUUAACCUGUUAUACUGCCAGUGACAGGAAGCUCAUUACCUACCAUAUUACUGCAUUCCAUCUUGAGCAAUUUGUUAGAAAACUUUUCCUUAUGAUGUGUCUUAAUGUAAUUCCACUUCUGGAACUGCACAGAAUGAAUCAAAUACUUUCUUCAUAGCAUAAUCUUUAAAUAUUUGAAGACAGCUCUUGUGUCUCCUGCUCUGACUCUUCCAUCCACACAUACAUUCAGCAAGCAUGUAUUGGAACUACAUAUCAGGAUUCUUUAGUAGUAAUAUAUAGAAAACUCAAACUGACUUAAGCUUUGCAUUUUUUAUUUAUACAUUCAUUCACUCAUCUAUUUAUCUGACAAAUUUUUAUUGAGUACAUUUUUAUGUUUCCGUCUCUGUUCUACAUGUGGAGGAUAGAACAGUAAAUAUAAUAGUCCUAACUCA